CCUGGGCUCCUGGAGGUUGUGCAAGGAACGGAGAUGGAGACUCCCUGUCCAUGGGGAGCUUCCAUAUGGAAAAGGCUGCUGUGUCCAGGCAGCUCCAAGGCCACAGCAAGGAGGGUCUCGACCACUGGAUCUGUGCCAGUCCUACAGUACUGGGUAGCAGCCACUGAGCCCUGGGGGAAGAGAGGGCACAGCAAGAGGGACAAAACCAGGCAAGGUCAGAGACUGGGAAGAGGCAGAGCCAGGAGCAGGAACAGCUGCUCCAUUGCACUCUUGGAGAAAGCUCCUGGCUGGUUCAAAGUGCUGUAAGCCAUGAAGGGCAGAGAGGAGGCCUCACCAAACAAUGCUCCUGUUUCCACACCCUCCCCUCUCUGUGUCCCAGAAGAAAUUGCAUGGACUGUAUUCAUCUCUCCGAGUCGUCUCGUUCAGCACGAGCAGCUUAGCACCAGGAGCUGAAGCAGCUGCCACCAUAGGCCACAGGAGCUGAACACUUUUGGAGCAAAGUAAUGCUGCUCAAAUAGACCUAGCUGAAUGCAGUGGAUAUAAUAAUGGAAUCACAGCAUCCUUUCUGUUGGAAAAGACCUCUGAGCUCAUCCAGUCCAGCCGGUCACCCAGCAGUGACAAGCCCGGCACUAAACCACGUCCCUGAAGUGCCAAGGCCUGAACAGCAGGCCCUGAGCCAAAGGUGGCCUCUGGAUGAACCUUCCAACCAAAGGUUAUCUUUGUAUCUGCUUAUUAAUGAAACAUGCAUGGUCAUUAGCACUGUGGUAGAUGUAGCCACUCCUUAGUGACACAUGUAUUGAUCUUUUUGUAUUUGCAAGCCAGACAAGGCCAUGAAAUCUGACAUCUGGCCUUGUUUGGGGCUGAAGGAUCAAAGUCACCUCCCUUGGUUCCUCCUUGAGCCCUGGCCAGGCUUUGGGAGGGAUCCAAGACGAGGAUGAAACCAGAUGUUCCCACACUAGAAGUGCUGUCAGUUUGUUCAUUCAGCACUGUCAGAGCUGGGCCCUCUCACAGCGAGGUUGGAGCCUCAGCUGUGGCUGGAGGCACCUGCAGGAAUUCCCAGUGUCCAGGAGUGGCUCUGCAGCCCUUGGCUGGGACAGCUUCCCCUGCUGCUGUGUGGAUCUGGGGGAUGGUGAAGUCUGAGGGUAAAUGAUGCUGGAUCUUUCUUAAUCACUGUAGGCAAUCUUUGGUGCUGAUGAUUGGGUGCAUUGCUGAGCUGCUCCUUUUGUGAUCCUUUGCUGCUUUGAGCUGCAGUAAAUGACACUGAUUCCUUCAGUUGGAGUCUGUGUCUUUGGUGCUGACCCUGCCCACUGGUAAAACAAAACUGGCAGAGUCUGGCCAGAUCACAGCAAAAUGUCUCUUGUUAAAUGUAAAUGUGAAGAAUCAGUGCCAUCAGAAAUUCCCGGAUGGGAAGCCCUUCCCUGGAGUUGGCUGGCUCUGGAGUGGGCUGAGGUUGCAGCACUGUGUGAGCAGUGGGGCAGUUGGUUAAAAGAAGCUGAACCCCUGGAUGUCUUAAAAUGUAUCCAAAAAUUGCAUACGGAAAAGGAGAAGGACUUGUGGGUUUGGGCAGACAAAGAUGAAUUUGUUAACAGUACAUUGGAAGCAGCACCUUCAGAAGGAACAAUUCUUGUUGGAAUGCUCCCACAUGGAGCAACAGAAGAAGGUUUUAAUCUUGAGCUCCAAUGCAUUUGUGCAAGUGAAAUAUUAAUAUGAUAAAUAAUUAUGUACAUAUUUAUAGUAUAAUAAGACCUUAAGAUAUAUAUAUAUAUAUAUAUUUUCUAUGUAUGUCUAUACCUAUCUAGCUAUAUCUAUAUUUCUAUAUCAAUACCUAUAUCUACGUAUGAAAUAGUAAUAAUGUUAAAUAGUGCUGACAAUACUGAUUUGGUAGCUUUGGCUGCUCAGGGAUGUAACACUAAAUACUCUACAGAAAAGGAUUGGCCAUGACCCUAAUGUCAGAGGUAAACCUUUGAAAUUGUAUACAAUGAAAAAAGGAGGAGGGAAUGAAAUUAGCUAUUUUUACAGGGUUUGCUGAUACUGUGAUGCAGAAUGCUUUGUCUGUUACUGUAAAAAAUUCAGUGAUUAAGACUGCUGGGUUUUUCAUAUCCCAGACAAUCCACAAGCUGCAGGAUUGGUUAAAUGGGUGAAGGGUUGUUAAAAGAGCAGUUGACAAAAUGAGGAGAUGGGAACCUGUCCCCAUGGAAACACCAUCUCCCAGGUGUGCUCCAUGCCCUUAACAGUAGCCCACUGGGGAAAUGGAAACCCCUGGCUGUGCACAGCUGCCCCCAAUUUACAUUAACAAGCUAAAUUGAUUAUUAGACUAAACAAAAAAUGAUGCUGUGAAAAUAUCCAAUAGUACAUCCUGUGAGAUUCAACAAACACGAACGGGGCUCUGCAGAACCACACAGCCUUGGAUUAUCUGCUUGCUGGCCAGGGAGGAGCCUGGGCUAUUCUAGGACAGGAAUGUUGCAGGGAUGUCUAUCAGUGCUGGGUUUGAGGUCCAACAGUCAGCAAUCCCCUUGACAGAAAGAUCAGGACAAGAGUGGCAGAAAGAAGAAAAUUCUUCCUGGUGGGAUUGGCUCCCAAAUUGGAGGCUGCUGUGAAAUGCAUUCGUGGCAGUCACUGUAAUCAUUGCAAUGUGAGCACUUGGUGUGUUAUGAAUCCAUGUUAGAGUUGUUGUGACACCUUGUGCUGGAAAUUGAGUACUGAGACAUGUCUAAAAACAGACAUAGUCUCAAGAAAAAAGGAGCAUUUGAUAAAGAACAGAGAAGAGCAGCUAAUUAGGGCUCUUUUAAAAGGAAUGCAAAUUAUAGCUCUGAGUAAUGAACUUGAACAGCACUUAGCUGAAGAACAAGACCUGAUGCCUUUAUGCCUUAUACCUAAAUCUAUGGUUCUAUUAUUGAAAAAAAUGUUUUGAAGGUUGCAGUUCAUCUGUAGGUCAAAGCACUGAUUGAAGUCCUGAGGCCUCAUCAGGCCCUGACUGUGGCCUAAACAGCAGGCCCUGAGCCAAAGCUGAGCUCUAAAUGAACCUUCCAACCAGAUGUUAUCUUUGUAUCUGCUCAUUAAUGAAUCAUUAUUAGCAAUAUGAUUUCUGUAUGUGUUCAUUGAUGAAACAUGGAUUUACCUUUCUGUGUUUGGAAACUGGACAAGGCCCCAUCUGGCUUUGUUUGGGGCUGUGGGAUCAAAGUCACCUCCCUUGGCUCCUCCUUGAGUCCUGGCCAGGCUUUGGAAGAAGCCAAACAGGAGAAUUAAACCAGUUAUUCCCACACUAGCACUGAUGUCAGCUUGUUUGUUUAACAGUGUAAAAGCUGGGGCCUCUCACAGCGAGGUUGGAGCCUCACUGGCUCCAAAGGUGGAGGCACCUGCAGGAAUUCCCAGUGUCCAGGAGUGGCUCUCCAGUCCGUGGCUGUGAAAGGGUUAAAAGCACUGCCUAGGCAUACUUGGGCAAGAAUAAGAGACAUUGCACUCAAAAUGGAAGCUUGCAAAAAUUCAGCCACAAGCUAAAGACACAGGAUGAAACUUGGCAAGAAAUAGGGAACAAAACUGGCAGAAAUGAAGGGCAGAGCUUGCUAAAACCAGUGAGGAAAUUGCUGAGACUGCCAACAAGAGACUGCACAUGCCUAGAGGAGAAAGGUGAAAAGGGCACGGCGAUAAAAAUGUCCAGCCUUCAUCAGGAGACCCCCGAGGAAGUCGUGGAGCCUUCCUCAGUGCCAUCACCAGUGUGCACUGUGCCUGUGCCUCGUGUAUGCUAAUGAUUGUAAUGAGUGCUGAGAAAUCGUUUACAUAACCUCACCUUUUCUGAGGAGGAACAUGAAUAUGCAUAGAGUAUAACCAUAUAUUGUAAUCUCCUGUGUGCGCUGUCAGGAGGAGAUAUCCCCGCACACCCGGUGUGCUGAAUAAAGCAAAUCCCUCUCCUUGGGCUUUGUCUGGGAAGUGUCUCUUGGCCUGGUUUGGGGCCAUUCACAUCCAUGGGGUUCUGUCAAGUCACAGUGGAACCUUGGUGCCCUGUUGUUGCACAGCCUCACAAUGCUCUCCUGCUGCCAUGAGGUCCCUCCCUCAGUGACACACUGCAGCCCUGGUUCCAUGAGGGGCUCUUGGGUGCAGGCCUUUUUCACAUCUGAGCCUUGCUUCCAUGGGUUCCAGGGACUGACAGUGGCCCUCUUCAUUCCAUGGGGCCCAGCUAGAUCACAGCAGAGCCUGGCUUUCAUCAGGUUCUGAUACCUGUUCUGCCAGCUGACUGGGGUGAUUUAAAGAACACAGAAACCAAUGGGAAGAAUGGUCUUAUUUACUGGGAGUGUUAAGGCAACACAAAAGUUAAAUUAUGCAUUCAAUAAAACUACAUGCUUGGAUUUAGCAACAAGCAAAAAGAAGCAAGAGUCUGCAGUUGCUGAAAGGUCCCAUUUCACAGCAAGGUCCUGGAGAACUCUUCCAAGAGAUUGGGAAAAUCUCAUGUGGUGCAUCCACCCAUAGGUAACUACACAAGAUUAUGUGGAAGUCUCCACAGCAGCUGGUUUGGUUUUAAACAGCAGCAGAAUCAUAUGGGUCAUCUCUUUUUAGCUCAAUAAAACUGAUGGUGUUAGUCACAUAAUGCCCAGGUUUUGUCCUGUAACCCAGCUCUGGCUGAGGCUGCCACUUAGGCCUGAGCACAUCAGAAGCUGAAGUGACCACGACUGGGAAUGGCAAAAACACCCCACUGGGACUGGUCCAGAGGCCCUGGGACUCCCUGGCAUGGAUCACCUCAGGAAACAGUAUUUCAGGGAGCCCAAAGGACUUUUGGGAGAGAUGCUGUGGAGACAGAGGGAAUUCCACAGCUGAAUCCCUUACCUGGGCUCCCAGAGAACCCUUCUGCUGUGGGGCUGCUGAGGGUGGAGGAACAGCAGGUACCCAUGGCCACCCCAAAACAGGGCCCCGUUGGCAACACGGCACCGAGCGGGAC